rnacentral:misc_RNA from 1 species
GAUGAAGAACGUAGCGAAAUGCGACAAGUAAUGUGAAUUGCAGAAUUUAGUGAAUCAUCGAAUCUUUGAACGCACAUUGCGCCCUUUGGUAUUCCUUAGGGCAUGCCUGUUCGAGCGUCAUUUAACCCCUUCAAGCUCUGCUUGGUGUUGGGCGUUUGUUCCGCUUCGUGCGCGGACUCGCCUUAAAAUCAUUGGCGGCCUUUGGAUUCGGCUCGAGCGCAGCACAUCGCGUCUCGGCCCGGCCCGCUGGCGUCCAGCAAGCGCAACUUUAUUUUGACCUCGGAUCAGGUAGGGAUACCCGCUGAACUUAAGCAUAUCAAUAAGCGGAGGA